rnacentral:rRNA from 1 species
AUUGAACGCUGGCGGCAUGCUUUACACAUGCAAGUCGAACGGUAACAGGUUAAGCUGACGAGUGGCGAACGGGUGAGUAAUGCAUCGGAACGUGCCCGAUCGUGGGGGAUAACGCAGCGAAAGCUGCGCUAAUACCGCAUGCGAUCUGAGGAUGAAAGCGGGGGACCGUAAGGCCUCGCGCGAUCGGAGCGGCCGAUGUCAGAUUAGGUAGUUGGUGGGGUAAAGGCUCACCAAGCCAACGAUCUGUAGCUGGUCUGAGAGGACGACCAGCCACGCUGGGGCUGAGACACGGCCCAGACGCCGACGGGAGGCAGCAGUGGGGAAUUUUGGACAAUGGGCGAAAGCCUGAUUCAGCAAUGCCGCGUGCAGGAAGAAGGCCUUCGGGUUGUAAACUGCUUUUGUACGGAGCGAAAAGGCUCUCUCUAAUACAGGGGGCUCAUGACGGUACCGUAAGAAUAAGCACCGGCUAACUACGUGCCAGCCGCCGCAGUAACAC